UUGGACAAUAAUCUUUGUGAUGCAGAAUAAGGAGUUGUGUAGUUAUAGAUUAUUUCGAGCAACAAAAAUAUCAUGUUUCUUUGUUGACAAGAUAAUCAGCUCUAGUAAAUCUACAGUGACAAUGAUGAUAAUGCUUCUACUAGAGUCCAAUAUGAAUUCCUGGUUCCUUGCUUUACAGAGACAUAUCCAAAAGAAUAUUGUUUAAAAACAGUGCAUCACCAAUACCUUGUACAAUCUUCUAGUUCCUUGUUGAAACAGAGGCAGACCAGCAAACUUUUGCAUUGUUUGUACUUAAACUUGUUUUCUUCAAGAAGAAUUUACUUCUGUAAAGAAAGUUCUUACCAAGGCCGCUGUCAAAUAUUUAAAAAUUUACACUGAUUUUUAAAUGUCUUGCCAUUUAGUUCUGACAACUGUGCAUUGCACUAUAACUAUAGUGGAAUGUCCUGCUAGGUUCCAGAUGAGCAUUCCAGCAGUACAUUUUUAUUUUUUACACUAUAAAUGAUUUACACUGAUUUUUAAAUGUCUUGCCAAUUAGUUCUGACAACUGUGCAUUGCACUAUAACUAUAGUGGAAUGUCCUGCUAGGUUCCAGAUGAGCAUUCCAGCAGUACAUUUUUAUUUUUUACACUAUAAAUGAUAUUUUUGGAAUGUCCCACUUAUCUGCUCUGCCAGCUAAGCAUAAAAGGACAUUUAUUGUACACUACAUAACAGAACACCCUCCCGGUUUGCUCUUUUACCUUAGCAUUCAAAAAUAUCCUUCUGAAAACUUUGUUUGUAAACUACUCACAUACCUUUAAAAAACACAAAUGAAACUUGUAAAAAAACACUUUUUAAUUUAAGUGUAAAUUUAAGUGGAUUGGUCUACCAUGCGCACAAUUUCCAUAAGUAUUGAUAACAAGACCACAAUUAGACAAUAAGAGAUGUGCAUUUUGGUUAUAUUUUGGAAAUAUUGAAAGAUUUUUAAAAUGAUUUAGUUUGGACAUAAUAUAUAAUUGUUCUAAAACACUUUAUUAUACACGUAUACUAUAUAUUAAUAUGUUGUAUCGGAUCAUGUAUCUAACACUUGCCAACAACACCCAUAUACAAUUAUUUGUGGUUUGCUUUAACAUAUGAUUCUAAAUACUUACUAUAAAAUAAUAAUUUAUGGUAUUUAGAUCUCACAUUAUAGACCAAUUCACUUAUAAGAAAGUAUGAUUAAAAUUUAUUUUAUUUUAAUAAAAUUAAAUUAUGUUCUGCUAUUUUAGAGUGAAAUAGUAAAACAUAUCACUACAUAAUGAUUAGCUUUUGAAAAAAAAAUCACUAUAUUGUUUGAGCCAUAGUAAUUUUGAUGAGUAUAAGUUUGUUGAUUUACUACUUUUUACGCUUACAAAAGGAAAAGGAAAUUUGAAAGUUGCAAUAUAACUACAGUAAAAAGAGCAAUAGAGUAUAUGUUGCACUUUGCUAUUGGUUACAACGUAUCUUUCAAAUAGAAUGGUCUGGAUUCGGACCAAUUUUACUAAAUAAGAUGUCUAAGUUGUGUCACAUGAUUAGGUUAUCUACCAAGUGUGAUCUGGCAUAGUAUAUCACCCUUCAAAAUUCAAAUAAUAAGAUAAAUCGAUAAAAAAUUACUGAAAACUAAUCUUGGCUACAUUACAUUAUCAGUUUUGUUUUUGUUUUUUUAAAGUAGCAAUUUAUUAUACUUGAAAUAAAAUUAGGAAAUCUACAAACUGUGAUCUGGCAUAGUGCAUCAAUAUUCAAAAUUUUACUUAUAAGAUAAAUUGAUAAAAGGUUACUAAAAAACUAAUUUUGGUUACAUUACAGUAUCAGUUUUUACUUUAAAAAGUAACAAUUCUGUAGAUUUUCAAUGGAAUUUGGAUUUUUUUCAUUCCCGGUGACAAGGUAAAAAUCUCAAGUUUCAUAAACUUUUUUUAAUUAUGCAUUGUUCAAUGGCAAACUAGAAAUUGAUUUUACGGAGAAAAAAAUGUUAUUUAAUAGUAUCAUGUAAAGAUGAUUUUAUAAUAUUUCACGAUGUUAUUACCAAAUAUUUGAUGUUAAAUUUGAUGCAAUUUCAAAAAUGGCGUCGUGCAAAUAUGCUAUGUCUUUCAACAGAUAAUGGCUUUCUGACCUUAUUACCUGAAAUAUUUAUUUUUCUUUCACAUGUUUAAAGAUUUUUAAAGAACAUCAUAUUGUCAGAAUUUUCAUUUUGCUCAUGUAUAUAGGUUUUUCUCCUUUUCUUGAACACUUACAUAAUUUGCAUAUAGAAAACUAUACGGAGUUAUACCAAGACAUGUUAUAUUGUGGCGAGAAGGAUUAACAUGGCGCGUUUCCAGACCAUUCUAUUUUAAGAUAAAAAUAUAUCAUUGGUUGGAUGACUCAACAAGUUAUAUAACCAAGAUAAAAUGGCUGUAAUUUAAUAUAUAACCGAUGCUUUCGGGUUUUAUAGCAAACAGUUUUUUUAUAAAUGACCGUAUUAACUUUCAGAAGUCUUAUUUACAAAAUUAAACAAAUGCCUCCUUGGUGUUAUAAUGAGAGGUGAAAAAAGUAUCUUUAACUUUCAGCAGAUAUGUGCGAAAGUGGUGUAUAAUAUAUUAAUAUUAAUAAUCAACGCUGCCAGUAUUGUGAGAGUUGUUAUCAUUUACAAUUGUCUGUAUAUCUGUAACAUUUCUCCAUAGUAUACUUAUGUCACUUGCAUGCAAGAAAAUAAAAAUUCUUUAUUAGUUCUGUUCAGAUGUGUCAAUUAUAAGUUGAUCUGUAUACACGUACAUGAUAUAUUAAUGCAUAGCUAAUCCAUGUUCUAGUAAGAUUUGAUGUUGUUUUAUUGUCUGCUCAAGUAUAUACAGAUGUUUAUAGCUAUCUAUUAGUUGUCAAUACUAUUUUUUUAUGUGUUUGAGGUACAUAAUUUAUAUUCAGUGAUCAGAAAAUGACAUGUAUAUUACUUACCUAUGUAUAUGUAAUAAAGAAAAUUACAUACAUUCAUGUACAUCCAGAAGAAUGGGAUAUUGUCAUGCUACUAUGACGUGAAAUAUGGCGAAUUAUGGUCAUCAUGGCCUCUUACUUUAAGAGAUGUUUUUUGUGUGUAUAUGUAUAUAGUUACCUAAGUAUGAUUUUGUAUAAUUUACAAAGACAAGUAUUUCUGUAUUUUGUGUAUGUAUUCAAUAUAGCGCCUGUUCUCUAAAACCACAAUCAUAUCAGUAGUAAUACUCUAUACAACAAAGUUGUAAAGAUUGUAAUAAAUUACUUAUACUUGGUUCAUUAUGGUCAUCAUGGCCGUCUUGUUACUUUUUUUUAUUUUUGUAUACAUAUAGUUUUCGUAGUGGAAUUUUGUAUAAUCUACAAAGAUAAGUAUUUUUUUUAUUUUGUGUACGUAUUCAAUAUAGCACCCGUUCUCUAUAAAACAAUCAUUAAUUAUAUUCUCAUACAACAAAGGUGUUUAAGAAGUUAUUAUUAAGAAUCACCUUAGUUUUCUUUCAUGCCUUUCAUAUUAAGUUUUGUCCCUCCGAGGUUAAUUUUUAAAGUGCUGAAGUUAAGAACUUAAAAAUUCAUAGAUAUAUAAAUCUCAUUAAGAAAACUGCAGUGAACUAUAAAAAUCAUACCCUCUUAUAACACAUUUUAGACGUAAAAACACUUUAAAGUUUGCAAUGCUUAAUUUUUGUUUCGAACCUUUGAGGUAAAUUGCUGUCUUGUGCACAUUUUUAGAGUUAUUGCCCAUUAGGCUUUGUAAAUGUCCAUAUUUCAUUUAUUGCCGGGACACAACUCGUACAUAAUUGAAUGUAUCUACAUGAAACGUUUUUGGUAGUUCUAAAUAUCUGAUUGAGGUAUAGGCGAUGUGUAAAUUUUGUAGUUAUUCACCUUUGUAACUGUUUAUACUAAAUUUUCGUGUAGAGCAUACAUUUAAAGGCACAUUAUGCAUAGGAAAUCUGUUUUUAUUCAACUCAUUAGAAAUGUCAAAAAUGUGUUAAAUAAUAUUUUACAAUGGAUUUAGAACAUGUUAGAUGUUUAACAGCUGGGGAAAGUAGCGCUGAAUGUGCAGUUUUAUGUCCUAAAGUUAACAAAAUGUAAACAAAAUAAGUAGUUUUCCUUUCAUACAAAAUUAUAAUUCACUACAAUAAAACCAAUCUCCAACAAAACAGCUUGAUCAAAGAUGGUUCAAUUUCAUGACGAAUGAGUUUUUUGUUUUGAAACUGUAACAAGAUACUAAAAAUAAAGUUAAAAAAAAAAGAUUUCUGAGGCAUAAUGGACCUUAAAGUCCAUAUCAAGUUGAACAUGAAAUAUCAUAUUAUCAUUCUGACAAAACGGCUUUCAAGGUCAUUGCAACUUAUUUGCAA